GCUUAGGGUGUCCGGCACGCCGCAUGACCAGACGCCGGUGCGACAUGUCGGAGGCACUGGCGGCGUUGAACAUGAUGGACAUGCGCAGUAAGAAUGGUUGCUUGGCCAAGAUUUCCUUCACUGGCAAGGGAGAAACAAAGUCCAUGAUACAGUUGUCUGGACUCCCUGGAGGACAGAAAGGACAGAAGACAGUGGUGGCACUAGCACUGUUUUUUUCUCCAGCGAAUAGCUCCAUUCUACAUGUUCCAUAAGAUAGAUAUUGCUAUGGAGUCUGGAUCCUCAGUAGCUACUUCUUUGUAAGCAAUUCUCAGUAGCUAGUUCACUUGGUUCAGUGUUUGGCAGUCAACACCAGUGUAAGCGACCUAGGCCCGGUGGGGUGCAGCGUUCAUCAUCUCCUCAGCUGUUCUGUAGCUUUUAACAUAUUGGAAUUGCUGAUAGAAAAUGUGUGUAAAUUUUACGAGAUACUUGUAGCCUGUUUGUUCAAAGUGUUGAGAGACAGAAAUGUUCAACUCUAAAUUCUUGAACUUGUGUUGCCCGUCCUA